AGUGAACGCUGGCGGUAGGCCUAACACAUGCAAGUCGAACGGCAGCAUAGUAAGAGCUUGCUCUUACGGGUGGCGAGUGGCGGACGGGUGAGGAAUACAUCGGAAUCUACUUUUUCGUGGGGGAUAACGUAGGGAAACUUACGCUAAUACCGCAUACGACCUACGGGUGAAAGCGGGGGAUCUUCGGACCUUGCGCGAUUGAAUGAGCCGAUGUCGGAUUAGCUAGUUGGCGGGGUAAAGGCCCACCAAGGCGACGAUCCGUAGCUGGUCUGAGAGGAUGAUCAGCCACACUGGAACUGAGACACGGUCCAGACUCCUAGGGGAGGCAGCAGUGGGGAAUAUUGGACAAUGGGCGCAAGCCUGAUCCAGCCAUACCGCGUGGGUGAAGAAGGCCUUCGGGUUGUAAAGCCCUUUUGUUGGGAAAGAAAAGCAGCAGGUUAAUACCCCGCUGUUCUGACGGUACCCAAAGAAUAAGCACCGGCUAACUUCGU
rnacentral:rRNA from 1 species